rnacentral:rRNA from 1 species
UACGUAGGGGGCAAGCGUUGUCCGGAUUUAUUGGGCGUAAAGAGCGUGUAGGCGCCAGACAGGUCCGUUGUGAAAACUCGAGGCUCAACCUCGAGACGCCGAUGGAAACCGUCUGGCUAGAGUCCGGAAGAGGAGAGUGGAAUUCCUGGUGUAGCGGUGGAAUGCGCAGAGUAUCAGGAGGAACACCGAUGGCGAAGGCAGCUCGCUGGGACGGUACUGACGCUGAGGCGCGAAAGCGUGGGGAGCGAACAGG